AGAGUUUGAUCAUGGCUCAGAUUGAACGCUGGCGGCAUGCUUUACACAUGCAAGUCGAACGGUAACAGGCCGCAAGGUGCUGACGAGUGGCGAACGGGUGAGUAAUGCAUCGGAACGUGCCCAGUCGUGGGGGAUAACGCAGCGAAAGCUGUGCUAAUACCGCAUACGAUCUAUGGAUGAAAGCGGGGGACCGUAAGGCCUCGCGCGAUUGAAGCGGCCGAUGUCAGAUUAGGUAGUUGGUGGGGUAAAGGCCCACCAAGCCAACGAUCUGUAGCUGGUCUGAGAGGACGACCAGCCACACUGGGACUGAGACACGGCCCAGACUCCUACGGGAGGCAGCAGUGGGGAAUUUUGGACAAUGGGCGCAAGCCUGAUCCAGCAAUGCCGCGUGCAGGAAGAAGGCCUUCGGGUUGUAAACUGCUUUUGUACGGAACGAAACGGUCUGGGUUAAUACCCUAGGCUAAUGACGGUACCGUAAGAAUAAGCACCGGCUAACUACGUGCCAGCAGCCGCGGUAAUACGUAGGGUGCAAGCGUUAAUCGGAAUUACUGGGCGUAAAGCGUGCGCAGGCGGUUAUGUAAGACAGAGGUGAAAUCCCCGGGCUCAACCUGGGAACUGCCUUUGUGACUGCAUAGCUGGAGUACGGCAGAGGGGGAUGGAAUUCCGCGUGUAGCAGUGAAAUGCGUAGAUAUGCGGAGGA
rnacentral:rRNA from 1 species